CCUACGGUGCGCAGCAGUGGGGAAUAUUGCACAAUGGGGGAAACCCUGAUGCAGCAACGCCGCGUGAGUGAUGACGGCCUUCGGGUUGUAAAGCUCUGUCUUCAGGGACGAUAAUGACAGUACCUGCGGAGGAAGCCACGGCUAACUACGUGCCAGGCGCCGCGGGAAUACGGAGGUGGCGAGCGUGGACCGGAUUUACUGGGCGAAAGGGGAGCGUAGGCGGACUUUUAAGUGAGAUGUGAAAUACUCGGGCUCAACUUGAGUGCUGCAUUUCAAACUGGAAGUCUAGAGUGCAGUAGAGGAGAAUGGAAUUCCUAGUGUAGCGGUGACAUGCGUAGAGAUUAGGAAGAACACCAGUGGCGAAGGCGAUUCUCUGGACUGUAACUGACGCUGAGGCUCGAAAGCGUGGGGAGCAAACAGGAUUAGAUACCCUGUAGUC
rnacentral:rRNA from 1 species